AGGAAACCAAAGGGAUCGAAUUAAAGUUUCCGUGGCAAGGAAGCCGAAGCACAUCUCAGAAUGCAAAUGAAUCAAGAAAGAAAACCAAACCAAUUCAGUAUGCAAAAUAUAACAAGAAGUCAUUGCAGUCGGAUUUCGAAAGUGACGCCGGUCCUGAUGCUGCGCGCAGGAUGCAUCUCAUCUCCAUCAGCCGGUCCAGCUCUCUGCAGGUCCGGUGCGCACAGGGUGACCAACCCGCAGCAGGUAAACGGUGUGGCAUUUAAGACGUGAUGUAUGAGGGUAAUUAACAAGACAGGGCAAGAGGGAACUUAGGUCACUGCACAUUUUAGAGAAAAGGCAUAAAGAAUUGGUGACAUUGGGUUUCUUUUCCUUUUGCCGAUCAGACAAGG